GGGUUUCUUCAUCCCCAGAUUUUUCUGUCUCCUCUUUUCCCAGACUUUCACUUCUAUCCUGAACCUCUAGCUUUUCCUCUGCUUUAUCUUCACUAGAUUUUUCUCCAUCUUCCACCUUACCAUCAUCAACCUUGUCAUCUUUUUCCUGUACCAUUUCCCCAGUUGACCUAUCAACCCCAGCCUCAUCUGCUAGGUCUUCUCUUUCAUCCCUGUCUUUCUGUCCAUCGCUCCUCCUCUCUAUGUUCUGAUCUACGUCAUUAGCAUUUCGCUGCCUCUCAGUGUCACCUGCACCUGUUCCUGUACCUUUCUCUCUCUGAGAUGCCUGACCCUCUCCCUCCAUCUCUGUAACCUCAGUGUCUGUAUUUUCAGUGUCCAGCUUUUCAGCAUGCAUCUCUGGUUCUUGUACUAAUGAUUCUUUUUCUUUUCUAGACUCUGUAUCCUCUGUAACCUCAGUUUCAGUUUUUACUCCCUCUCUUUUAUCUUGUUGUUCAGCCUCAUUUGUACUCUCACUUUGUUCUUUCACCCUCUCAUCUAUUUCUUGUACUUCUUCUUCUGUGUGUAAAUGAGGUUCCUGUGCAUUUGUCUCUUCUGCAGGCUGACACUUCUCAUCACCAUCAUGUGGCCUUUCCUCACGCACAACUUUCUGUGUGUUGGCUUCACUUUCAUCCAGAAUGUCAUCCCAUGUCAUUUCAGCCAUAUCGAUUCCUGUAAAAGUCGCUCUUCUCCAUGCCAUCCCCUGGACUAUCCUGUGUCCCAGAGUCUUCCGCUGCAGCUUGAGGCAACGUAACAUCGCUGGACUCUGUGGCCUCUGUCUCCUCUGGUUUGGCCUCAGCUGUUGUGAUCACUUCCUCUGCAUGUAUGCUCUCCUCUGGAACAUCAGCAGUGGUGACUUCUCUUGUGUCCUCCACAAUUUCCCUUUCACUAUUGUCAUUGUCACUGCUGGACAAGCUGGAUGUUCGACCAGAUGAGACAGAUGGUGACCUUUUGACUUCUGAAGGAAGAAGACAAAUAAUCACAGCAGUGGAUGGAUUUUCCUCUACUUCAUCACCAUCUUCAACUGGCCCUUCAUCAUCUGCCUCAAAGUCCUCCUCAUAGACUAUAUAAGAGCACAAGAUAAAUGUUCAUUUAAAGAUGCAUUACAAUAACUUUUGUGUAUUUAACAUAUACAUUUUAUCAGUAUAUGUAUUCUAUGGGAUUCAAACCCAUGGCCAUGCUCUACUGCUCUACUAACACUAACUCAAUAGCUGAGACCAUGUUUUUUUAAACUGCAUAGUACAAUAGACCUGCACAGCCAUCAAUUAAAGUUUGUGUAUUUGAAAUCAGCAAACUCAAAGAG